UUAAGAUAAUUUUACAAUUUUAAAAUAAAAGUUUUAAUGAGUUUAAAAAAAAAAAAGUAUAUUUUAGAUUGUUUUAUAAAGGUUCUGAAAUUUAGUCUCCUAAUUAAACCCUAAUCACCGUAUGUUAUAUAUACUCCCACAAACCUCAAAAUUCAUGCCGUGUAAAUCGACUCCUAAUAAACCCCCGCCUCUCAAAACACAGCCGUCGUCAUCACCGUAUCAUCAUCAUCAUCAACCUCUCCUCGGCAGAGGGAGACUAUUUAGGAAAUAACGCAAAGAGACUACUAGUUCAAAGUACGCGUGUGUCCAAGGUUGGUAAAGGUAUUUGGCUAUGAGUGAGGAGACGCUUAGAAUAACCACCUAGUCAAGAGACAAUUUCUAUUCCAGUCUAAGUUGGAUUUUGUUAUUUAUUUUAUUGGGAUUAAUUGGUUGUAAUAUUUUAUUGGCCACCUUUAGACCACUUAGUUAAUUUUGACUUUAA